rnacentral:misc_RNA from 1 species
GUAACAAGGUUUCCGUAGGUGAACCUGCGGAAGGAUCAUUACCGAGUGAGGGCCCUCUGGGUCCAACCUCCCACCCGUGUUUAUUUUACCUUGUUGCUUCGGCGGGCCCGCCUUAACUGGCCGCCGGGGGGCUCACGCCCCCGGGCCCGCGCCCGCCGAAGACACCCUCGAACUCUGUCUGAAGAUUGUAGUCUGAGUGAAAAUAUAAAUUAUUUAAAACUUUCAACAACGGAUCUCUUGGUUCCGGCAUCGAUGAAGAACGCAGCGAAAUGCGAUACGUAAUGUGAAUUGCAAAUUCAGUGAAUCAUCGAGUCUUUGAACGCACAUUGCGCCCCCUGGUAUUCCGGGGGGCAUGCCUGUCCGAGCGUCAUUGCUGCCCUCAAGCCCGGCUUGUGUGUUGGGCCCCGUCCUCCGAUCCCGGGGGACGGGCCCGAAAGGCAGCGGCGGCACCGCGUCCGGUCCUCGAGCGUAUGGGGCUUUGUCACCCGCUCUGUAGGCCCGGCCGGCGCUUGCCGAUCAACCCAAAUUUUUAUCCAGGUUGACCUCGGAUCAGGUAGGGAUACCCGCUGAACUUAAGCAUAUCAAUAA